CGCCGGUCCCCUCGCAACGUGAAGCCGUGAACCCGGUCAGGCCCGGAAGGGAGCAGCCGCAGCGGCGGAAUCGUGUGCCGGGGUGCGGCUGGCGCGG
rnacentral:SRP_RNA from 1 species